rnacentral:tRNA from 1 species
UCUAAAUUGGCAGAGUUAAUGUGUAGAGUUUAGGACUCUUUUAUAAAUGUAAAUUUAUUUAGU